AGACAGGAGAAGACUGGGCUGAGAACACAAUGGAAAAGGAAUUCCCUGCAACCCUUCAGGGAAGCUGAAGUUUCUCUGAAAGAGUCCCAAAAAUCAAGAUGUCAAGUUUACCAGAGAUGCCAUGAAAGCUGAGCGCGUGCUUCAGAUCAUGCACGGCAGUGGAAAAUAUGAAUAACACCUUUGUUUGUUGGCUGAUACAGAAUGGAGGCAUAUUUCCCUGCAGAAGAUUUAUGAUCCAUAAGCCCAUUACAUUUGGAUUGCAGCUAGAAGAUU